rnacentral:lncRNA from 1 species
CUUUGAUGUGAAUUUUUGUCAUUCAAAUUUCAUCCUUACCUAGUGAUCUUUAUUACAUUUGGUAUUGUAGAGAUAGAGAAAAGAUGAAGAAAUAGGAAAGGACUAGGGCAUCAAGGCCACAUUUUUCAUCAAUCAGUUUUUCGAUAGAGAAAUGGAGACAUUUCGGUGUCUGUGGCAGUGACGAAGUCACACAGUAGUCGGUGCAGUGGGGGGCCAAGUUUCUUACUGGGAGAUGGUGGUGGACGUGCUAUGCUAACGUAUCGACGAGAAAACUUUCAUGUUCUUUCUUCUCCAUUUCAGGAAAGGUAUAUAGUGCUCUUCUCUCAACAUGUAAAUAUUUUUGUCUGGGUUACAUCUUUUUUCUGUUCUUAUUUGUUUUAUUAGUCCGUGGUAGCAGACUCACCAUUCUUGAAGAGGUCAAGGUAUUGGAUCACACAGGGCGGUGAAGAUUCUACUGGGACUUCCUUAUAUCAAUUGAAGUGAAUGUAAUUUUCAUUUGGUGAAUUGCAAUACUAAUUUAUGUGGCAUCGACGCUUAUAAUCAUAGGCGUGUUUGGUGUCUGAUACGUUCCCGUAUUCGUCGCCUACAAAAUAUAGAUACAUGUGAUUACAUUGAAUUAUAUUAUUUUUUAAAAUAAUUGUCGGUGUUCAGAUGUUAGUGUCUCUGUGUAUAUUCCGAUGCUUUAUACAUGCCAAUACAUUUAAUACCCAUUCCAAACCAUAUUCAUUGAGUAACUUGGUCUGCGCAAAUAUACAUUUAAAUUAGUCAGCUAAGUUAAGGGGCCAUAUGGCCUUUCUAAACUGCAACGAUCAUUUCAUGUCUUAAUCACAUUGAUUUUUUUGUUGUAACAAAGUCACGUUGAAGUAAUUUACUAUUGCUUUCAGAAAUAAAACUUUCUUUUGUCCACUACCUAAAUUUUACCCCACUUCAUGUUCAUAUAUUGCCUUCUCUUUGGUUUCUUGCUUUGCAAUAGAGCGAUUGGAAGAUGAUGAAAAUGAUUUUUAACGGUGAUCACACAUAAAUGAUGAUGAGAUACAUCUUACUUCCUUUAUUUUUUCCUUUUUUUAAAGUGAAAAAAUGAUGUAAUUUAUAUUGGGUUUCAAUCUUUUAUUUCUUUCUUUUUCUUCGUAUUUCAGUGAGUAAAGGGGAAAACUAAUAGAGAUGGAAAAAUCACUUUAUUUUGGGGUGAGCAAGUAACCUUUUUCACUAAAUCUUAUUAUAAGUGAAGUGAAAUGAGAGAAUGAUUGGAAUUAAUGAUUUCAACGGGCAUACAGGGAUUUACGUGAGUCUAGAAAUUAAAGCAGUUGCGAACUUAUCUAAACCAUUGUUGGUUUGGUUUCUUAAUUACGGAUGUAGUUUGAGAUUUUUAAUGAUACACUAUUAAUAGAACAUAAAAAGGGAGGGAAUCCAAGAAGAUAUGCUCAACUAAAGAUAAUGAGUUGAUCGUGGUAUGGCUACUAAGGGCUUUUCCAAUACAUUUGCUCUGAUUCAAGUUAUGAACCUUCUUGGAAUUGGUUCGGAUCACACUGUUAUCUCAAAAGCUUUGGAAGAUAUCUCCUAUGGUACGAAGAAGAGGAAAGUACACAGUGAUUCAGUUUGUAGAGUGUUUGGUCAAAGAUGAUAGGUGUAAUUCAGGGUGCACGAUGUGGACUAGAGGAAGAGGUGGUUGUUGAGAAAAACUGGAGGCAAUGCAAUCACACAAUGAAUUUACAGAGUAUAAAACUAGACGUGAUUCAUGCUGCUAUUAACUGCUCAUGUAUUUAGAAUUAUUGUGAAGUAGGGGCAUGGAUAAAACUGACAUACUCAGCUCCCAAUCUUCUGCUGGUGUCUAUAAAAAGCAGGUCCUGUGUUGAGAUUUCCUACCCGACAAGUAGUAAUACGACUGGAAGUAUUCCC